CCCGAACGCUGGCGGCGUGCCUAAUACAUGCAAGUCGAGCGGACAGAUGGGAGCUUGCUCCCUGAUGUUAGCGGCGGACGGGUGAGUAACACGUGGGUAACCUGCCUGUAAGACUGGGAUAACUCCGGGAAACCGGGGCUAAUACCGGAUGGUUGUUUGAACCGCAUGGUUCAAACAUAAAAGGUGGCUUCGGCUACCACUUACAGAUGGACCCGCGGCGCAUUAGCUAGUUGGUGAGGUAACGGCUCACCAAGGCAACGAUGCGUAGCCGACCUGAGAGGGUGAUCGCCACACUGGGACUGAGACACGGCCAGACUCCUACGGGAGGCAGCAGUAGGGAAUCUUCCGCAAUGGACGAAAGUCUGACGGAGCAACGCCGCGUGAGUGAUGAAGGUUUCGGAUCGUAAACCUUUUUUGUUAGGGGAAGAACAAAUACCGUCGAAAAGGGGGAUCCUUGACGUUACCUAAACAACAAAGCUUUUUUUAUUCCUACCCCCCGGUUUUUUGAUAACGGAGGGGGGCGGCCUUUGCUUUUUAUUUUUUGGGGGAAAAGGCCCCCAUUUUUUUUUUUUUAAGGUCUGGAGGCCCCCCCCCCCCCCCCAAGGGGAUUUGUUUUGUUUCGAAAAUUUUUUUUUAUUUGGGACUAAAGAAAAGGGGGAUUUUCGUUUUCACCGGGGGGGGGGGGGUAAAGGUGGUAUGCGUUUACCCCACCAGCACGGGGGGGGGCCCCCGUUUUUUUUUUUUUUCCCCCCCCCGGGGAGUAAAAAAAGCGGGGGGGGGGGAAAAAAAAAAAAAAAAAUUUAUUUCCCCCCCUCCCCCCCCAGCGAAAAAAAAUAGAAGGUUUCCGGGCCCCCUUUUUUUUUAUUUGUGGGGGGGGGGAAAAAAACAAACCUCU
rnacentral:rRNA from 1 species